CUCUCCGGUACCUUCUAGAGAAAUCAUCUCCAGCUUGACGAAGAGUCAGGUGGACCACAGGUGGCACUGGACUGACGGUAGGUCCAGCAGCAGCAGCAGCAGCAACAGCAGGAGGAGGAAGAGGCAAAGGGUGAGCCAUCAUUCCCAAUGGAAGGAGCAAUGAAUACCAAGGAGAGCAGCCAACGGUGAUAACACCCACCUCUUAUUCCCUCUCCCACUCCACGCCCCCAGAAAAAUACAGAAUAAUAAUUAUAAUCCAGUUAUUUUAUUGGA